AAAAAUGUAGCAUAAGAAUGCGGCGUAUUGUAAUUACGUGGAUGGCUCAAUCGGCCCAUUUUUA
rnacentral:tRNA from 1 species